UACGUAGGAGGCAAGCGUUGUCCGGAAUUACUGGGCGUAAAGCGCGUGUAGGUGGUGGGACAAGUCUGCUGUGAAAGCGCCUGGCUUAACCGGGCGAGGUCGGCGGAAACUGUUCGACUCGAGGACGGUAGAGGGGGGUGGAAUUCCCGGUGUAGUGGUGAAAUGCGUAGAGAUCGGGAGGAACACCUGUGGCGAAGGCGGCCCCCUGGCCGGCCCUGACACUGAGACGCGAAGGCGUGGGAGCGAACGGG
rnacentral:rRNA from 1 species